rnacentral:rRNA from 1 species
CCCGUCCCUCCGGCCCGCCGCCCCCCCGGGGCGCGCCCGCGCGGCGCGUCCCGGCGGGCGGAGGACACACAUCCCGGCGCGGCGCGCGCCAAGGAACGACCGUCGGAACAGGGCUCCGCCCCCGCCCGCGCGGCGGGGCGGCGUCCCGCUCUAACUCGAAACUGUACGACUCUCGGCAACGGAUAUCUCGGCUCUCGCAUCGAUGAAGAACGUAGCGAAAUGCGAUACUUGGUGUGAAUUGCAGAAUCCCGCGAACCAUCGAGUCUUUGAACGCAAGUUGCGCCCGAGGCCAUCCGGCCGAGGGCACGCCUGCCUGGGCGUCACGCAUCGCGUCGCUCCGCGCCCCGAACGGGCGCCGGACGCGGAGAUUGGCCCCCCGCGCGCGAGCGCGGCGGGCCUAAGCGCGGGCCGCCGGCGGGGACGGGCACGGCGAGUGGUGGACGGAAGCGCGGGCUCCCCGCGCACGCGAGCCGGACGCCGUGGCCCCCGGACCCCAGCGGCACAGGGCCCUUCGGAACCCCACAGGGCGCGCGAGCCCCUCCCCCGGGACGGGCGAGCCGCCUCGCACCGCGACCCCAGGUCAGGCGGGGCCACCCGCCGAGUUUAAGCAUAUCAAUAAGCGGAGGAGAAGAAACUUACGAGGAUUCCCC